AAUGGUUUGGGAUUUAUUUUUAUUCUUCUUGUGGAUUUACUGGGAAUAACUGCAAGUAACAUGGAACCUAUUUAUUGGAAUACAUUGAACAAGAGGUCCACUGUCACUAAUAUGUGGUGGUGAAGUCCCAAUGGGCACAGACGUCAAUUCAACGUCUAUUCCACGUUGGUUCAGCGUAAUUUAAUUGAAAUGACGUGGAAACAACGUUGAUUAAACCAGUGUGUGCCAAGUGGGGUUGUUCUUUGCUCAGCUGACAGACCAGAGAUACAGGAGCCCAUUCGGUUCCAAGUUGCUUACCAUGGCUCUCCUCUACGUACAGCAUUCUGGGGACUUCCAGCAGUUGCUCUCAGGAGAUGGUCAGUGUGCGUAGAGAGAACCUUGUUUGACCAGGUGGAGUCAGGCUUCUACAUCAUCGCCCUGGACCACUACACCAACAAGGCAGAGGACACCAACUUUGGACCAAUGGCUCUGGCUUGCUGAUAACAUCUGAUCUGAUGAGACUCCCGAUGCGAUUUGACUUCUGUAUUACUGACUGGAUUCAAUAAAACUUCAUUUGAGAUUCUGUAAUUGAUAGAAAGUGGUAGUUCCCAAUCAGGCAAUUACUAUAAAACAAAUCUGUUUUCCUCAGUGCAAUGUUUGGUGAAUGCAUGGCAUUGUUUUGUUCUCAGUCCUCCUUUUGAAUGCUGUGUGUACUGAUUCAGUUCUAAACGACCUUUGAGUCCAUCCUCACCUCUUCCAUUACUGCAAUGAAUUGUCCGGUCUGCUGAGAGGAUCAUUGGCUACCACCUGCUCUCCAUCGCGGUACUGCAUAACUCCAAGGCAAGGAAGCAUGCAGGAAAGAUCAUCGCUGACCUCUUCCACCCCCUCUGGCAAACGGUUCAGGUCAAUCACGAUCUCCCACCACCUGAACCAUUUCAACCGGCCACCUGGUUCACAAUGAUCCUCUUAUCCGCAUGGACUUUGCACUAUUCAUCCACCGACUAUGCACCCUGCACUAUUCAUCCACCGACUAUGCACCCUGCACUAUUCAUCCCAGACCUGCACGACUCUUACAUGCAUCAUUUAGGAUGUAGCUUAUAGUUCAGUCUGUAGUUUUUUUAGCUUAGUGUUCAUACUGUAUGUGGAUCUGUGGAAAUUCUGUGUGUAUAAUGUCUUUAUAUUAUGUUUAUUGUGGUAGCACCGUUUCACAGUUUGAGGAAGCACAUUUUCACCAUAAAAAAUGCACAUUUAUAAUAAAGCAUUCUGUGCAUCUAGCAUUGCAUUUGCAGACUUAUGUAAGAUAGCCUACUAUUCCUAAUGUGAUGAGUAGAUAAGUCAUAAUUUAGGCUAAUAAUAUAACAAAAACUACUGUUCAAUGCAUGGCGUAGUGGCAUAUAGUAGGCCUAGGCUUUAUCAGAUACAUUUCUUCUCGUUUUCAUAAACACAUUUCAUGCAAUUCUACUACACUUGAUAUGAGACAUUAGAUUAAUAUUUUUUAAUACGACAAAAAUUACAGGGUAGUAUAGGCCUAUAGGCUACUGCUGACCCUGACAAACAGAUCAAUAAUAACAACAUUGUCUGCAACCAUCUAAUCUACAGUAAGCCUAUGAAAAAGGGAAACACACAUUUUACAGGCCUACCGUUUGGAAAGCAAACACCUACUGCUGAAAAGAGAAGGCUAAUCUGUCUGUAGAGGAUUUCAAAAAUAUUCUCAACAGUUUUUGAGCGAUUUUGAUUGAACAACGCUGUUUUUCAAAGUAGCUUAUCUUGAGAUAUUGGCAAGAGCGCAUUUGGCCAUCACCGGUGAGUAGCCUAUGCUUCAUCUUCAUCAUUGUGUGAGUCAGUGUCACUAGAACGUUUAUUUUGUAGCCUAUCUCAUUCACACCCCUGAGUCAAAACAUGUUAGAAUCACCUUUGGCAGCGAUUACAGCUGUGAGUCUAUCUGGGUAAAUCUUUAAGAGCUUUGCACACCUGGAUUGUACAAUAUUUACACAUGAUUCUUUUUAGAAUUCUUCAUGCUCUGUCAAGUUGGUUGUUGAUCAUUGCCGAUUUAAGUCAAACUAUCUAGGCCACUCGGGACAUUCAACGUUGUCUUGGUAAGCAACUCCAGUGUAGAUUUAGUCUUGUGUUUUAGGUUAUUGUCCCCUGCUGAAGGGGAAUUUGUCACCCGGUGUAUGUUGGAAAGCAGACUGAACCAGGUUUCCUCUAGGAUUUUGCCUGUGCUUAGCUAUAUUCCAUUUAUUUGUAUCCUAAAAAACCUCCCUAGUCCUUGCCGAUGACAAGAAUACCCUUAACAUGACGCAGCCAACACCAUGCUUGAAAAUAUGAAGAACGGUACUCAAAUGUAACACUUUGUAUUUCUGGACAUAAAGUUCAUUUAUUUCCCACAUUUUUUACAGUUUUACUUUAGUGCCUUAUUGCAAACAGGAUGCAUGUUUUGUAAUAUUUGUAUUCUGUACAAGCUUGCUUUUUUUCAC